rnacentral:rRNA from 1 species
AUUGAACGCUGGCGGCAUGCUUUACACAUGCAAGUCGAACGGUAACAGGCCGCAAGGUGCUGACGAGUGGCGAACGGGUGAGUAAUGCAUCGGAACGUGCCCAGUCGUGGGGGAUAACGCAGCGAAAGCUGCGCUAAUACCGCAUACGAUCUCUGGAUGAAAGCGGGGGACCGAAAGGCCUCGCGCGAUUGGAGCGGCCGAUGUCAGAUUAGGUAGUUGGUGGGGUAAAGGCCCACCAAGCCAACGAUCUGUAGCUGGUCUGAGAGGACGACCAGCCACACUGGGACUGAGACACGGCCCAGACUCCUACGGGAGGCAGCUGUGGGGAAUUUUGGACAAUGGGCGCAAGCCUGAUCCAGCAAUGCCGCGUGCAGGAAGAAGGCCUUCGGGUUGUAAACUGCUUUUGUACGGAACGAAACGGUUCGGGUUAAUACCCUGGGCUAAUGACGGUACCGUAAGAAUAAGCACCGGCUAACUACGUGCCAGCCGCCGCUGUAACAC